UUCAUAUGUGGAUUGGUUUACUAAAUAGUUGGUCAGACAAGUGUAAUGUGGUGUAUGGGUUAAGCCUAACAAAGUGUAGAUAGUUAGGCUGCUGCUACAACUACAAAUAUUCUGUUGUAACCUUUCACAUUCAUUCAUUACAAACUGUUCUUAUUUCUCUCUCUCCCUCUAGUUUUCUUCCGUUGUUCAUCUCUCUGAGAUUUCUGCAACCUUUACAUUAUUCUAGUUUCAAUUCAAUACUGUUAAUGUGGUAUCGAGCCAGAGCUCUUCUGUGGGAUUGUAGCUCCUGGAUUGGAAGUUUUCGAAGUUGACAUCUUUGGGGAUAUGGAUUCGUCUGGAGUGUUUCUGCAUCUGGGUUUCGAGUUCAAGAAUUGAAGAUUUUCUGGGUUUUUCUCCAAUGUUUCCUGCAAACUGUAUGGCUUUCUCAUCCAUUUCGGCGACUGUGACCACCAUUGCAAUCUAUGCUACAAAAGUGAGAUUUGAAGAAAUGUCAGUUUGUCCUCCUAAAUUUGUUCUAAAUACUGAAAUUGGUGUCACUAAGGAAGUCACAACAGCUUUUCAAGACAGGGAAACAACAUAUAUGGCAUUGUUGAGUCUAUUGAUUGCAACUUUGACAGAUGAUAUAAUUGAACAUGUUAUUGGAUGCAAAACAGCUCAUGGAGUGUGGACCAAUCUUGAAGAAAGAUAUGCCUCGGUUUAUAAAACGGAAAUCAUCUCAAGACUGAGUUACAUACAAUGCAAAAAUGAGGGGAUUCAAUGGAUAAGUACUUGCUAAGAAUCAAGUCUAUAAGGGAUCAACUGACUACUGCAGGAGAAUACAUCUCUGAUAAUGAUGUUAUGACUGCUAAAUUGGCAGGAUUACCAAAGGAAUAUGCAACUAUAUGAAUUGUGAUUCUUGCAAGAGAGUAUACUAUUUCAAUGAAGGAGUUCAGGGCACUUCUUUUAGGAGCUGAAAGAGAAAAUGAUGUGGUGGGUUUGACUCAUAAUAUGUCUGCUCUAUACAUGUAAGGAUCUUCUGCAAAUUCUCAAUAUCAAAAGGGAGCAUCUAGUUCCGAUUCUUCUGGUGUGGAAUCAUCAAGUACAGUAGGCAAAAUAACUUUAACUCAAUUGCCUGCAUUUGGUUCUCAACAAUCUGUGAACCAACAGCCAUAUUUUCCUGAUUCCUCAACAGGUUUUGCUGGAAUAAUGGAGCCUCCCAAUGAUGGGUUUUCUAGGCAAUCUUCUGCACCAUCAAACUACAUCGACAGUCAAUAAAGAUACUACAAUGGUAAUCACCAGAGAGGAGGUGGCAACUUUAAGUCUGGAUAUAGAGGAAAUGGGUCUAACAACAAUAGGCAUAAUGAUUGGUCUAGUAACACUGGUUUCAGAACUAAUCAACAACUUGAAUGCCAGAUAUGUCAGAGAAGCGUACACACUGCUCCAAAUUGAUUCUUCAGAAAUUCUCAAGGUCCUCCACAGGGAUAUAACACUUAAUGUCAAAUUUGUGGCAAAAGAGGGCACACUGCUCUAGAAUGUUUUCACAGAGGCAAUUAUUCAUAUCAGCCUUCUGGACCUCCACCAUAUAUGACUCAUUCCUUUCAAAAUCAAUUUCCUCCAGCUAUUCCAAAUCCACCCAACUUUGCUGUUCAUUAAUCAAAUUAGGUUCCUCGACAGCAAAUUCAUAUGCCAGAGGUUCCAUAUCAAGUUCCACUUCAAUGCAUGGGUUCUCUGCUCAAGGAUCAACAUCACAUUCCAAUCAACCAUCUUGGAUUUUGGACACAGCAGCUUCACAUCACAUGACAGCUGAUCUUGCAAGCCUUAAUCAAGUUGCAUCUUUUGAAGGUUCUGAGAAGAUAAAAAUAGGCAAUGGUCAAGGUUUACCUAUUAAGAAUUUUGGUUCCAUAGUUGUUAAAACACCAUCACGUUCAUUGGUUUUAAAGAAAGUGUUGCAAGUACCAUCAAUCACAGUUAAUCUCAUGUUUGUGCAACAAUUAUAUGGAGAUUUAAUUUCUUGUUUGUCUGUCAUGACACUAAUUUCUUUGUGCAAGACAAAGUGCCAAAGGUGAUCUUGUACAAAGGAAGGAGUAGACCUCAGCAACUGUUUCAGAUUCCUGUAUCUAUAAGAUAGUGUUCAAGUGCAUUUGUGGGAUAAUUGGUGAAGUCUUUAGCUUGACACCACAGAUUGAGGCAUCCAGCUAAUGAAAUAAUGUCAGUCAUGCUAGUUAAAUCUCAAAUUGCUGCUUCUAUAGAUGAUAGUCACUCAAUAUGUUCUGAUUGUAUCUAUGGACAAAUGACUAGGAAACCCUUCCCUAGUGACUCUUCUAGGUGUGUUUUAACAUUUGAUAGAAUUCACUUGGAUGUAUGGGGUCUUUCCUCUGGUCUAUAGAAGGUUACAGAUACAAUGUUGUAUUUGUGGAUGAUUGUACAAGAUUUCUGUUGUUAUUUCCACUUUUCAAUAAAUCAGAGGCUUUCUCCACUUUUA